UUGCAGUGCACCUGUGAAGCAGUUUUUAUUUCAACAAACCCAAAAGUAAUUAAAAAUUGGAAAGCUAUAAAAUUGGAGUUUGAAGAAGUGGGCUAUGCUUGGAGUGCUGUUGUUAGGAAGUGAACAUCCCAUGAAAGGGACAAUUAGGAAGGAAUUGAUUUCAUAUUCCUCAAGGUAGGAGGUUUCAUGGUGGCAAGUUUUCGGAAAGUAUCUUUGCAACACGUGUUAAGAGUUUUCAAAAGAAACCCCCUGUGCUAUCUCUGUCUGUCUUCAGCUGGUUCCUCUGGAGUGAACCCAUCCACCCAGACUCAUCUCCUGUGCAUCUGAAACUUCCACAGCAGCUCCUGAGGAUAUCCGAAAGGCUUUAAAAAAAAAAUAACCAGAACUCCAUGGUGCUGUGCAAAUUGCCCGGCAGGAGGGAUGUGAUGCAUGAGGAUCCAAAUCAUCCAGCUGGAAAAUGAAGCACUGGCCAGCUUCCUCCGGGCCUGCCACGUGGAUCUCUGUGACCACAUUGGAUUUGACGCUGCAGCUCAGUGAAACUCUCAGAGGUGAUAACCCUAAACACCUACUUAACAACCGAGAUGUCAUGAAGGUAGUACAAAUCAAGAAACAAAAAGAGCACAGUUUCAGAAGGAAUAAUGGAUGCAGUGAAAGUUAUCGGGGGCGCAGGUUCGAUCCCUCCCCGGGGAACUGAGAUCCGGCAUGCUGCUCGGCGUGGCCCAAAGGGGGGAAAAAAAUAGUAAGUAUACAAUUAAUUUCUUCCCAAACUACUUCCAAGCUUCUUUGAUUUAACUCGGCACAGGAUCCCAGGUCACACCAGGCACACCCGGGAACUUGAAAAUAAAUGCUUUGCUGUUGGUGAUGACUCCCUCACGGUCUCACAGAAGAAAGGCAUUAAAGCCCAAGAGAGGCUUUAGGACUCAGUGUUUAUUUUUAUGGAACUAGAUUCAAUCAGGGUAGUCAUUUAAUGAGUUCAGAGAAUAACUGAAAUGACUUUGGGCUAGAAUGUCACUGCCCUACUAUCGUAUU